rnacentral:rRNA from 1 species
CGUGCUUAACACAUGCAAGUCGAACGAUGAUCCCUAGCUUGCUGGGGGGAUUAGUGGCGAACGGGUGAGUAACACGUGAGUAACCUGCCCUUAACUCUGGGAUAAGCCUGGGAAACUGGGUCUAAUACUGGAUAUUGACUUUUCACCGCAUGGUGGUUGGUUGAAAGAUUUAUUGGUUUUGGAUGGACUCGCGGCCUAUCAGCUUGUUGGUGAGGUAAUGGCUCACCAAGGCGACGACGGGUAGCCGGCCUGAGAGGGUGACCGGCCACACUGGGACUGAGACACGGCCCAGACUCCUACGGGAGGCAGCAGUGGGGAAUAUUGCACAAUGGGCGAAAGCCUGAUGCAGCGACGCCGCGUGAGGGAUGACGGCCUUCGGGUUGUAAACCUCUUUCAGUAGGGAACAAGGCCAGUGUUUAGUUGGUUGAGGGUACCUGCAGAAGAAGCGCCGGCUAACUACGUGCCAGCAGCCGCGGUAAUACGUAGGGCGCAAGCGUUAUCCGGAAUUAUUGGGCGUAAAGAGCUCGUAGGCGGUUUGUCGCGUCUGCCGUGAAAGUCCGGGGCUCAACUCCGGAUCUGCGGUGGGUACGGGCAGACUAGAGUGAUGUAGGGGAGACUGGAAUUCCUGGUGUAGCGGUGAAAUGCGCAGAUAUCAGGAGGAACACCGAUGGCGAAGGCAGGUCUCUGGGCAUUAACUGACGCUGAGGAGCGAAAGCAUGGGGAGCGAACAGGAUUAGAUACCCUGGUAGUCCAUGCCGUAAACGUUGGGCACUAGGUGUG